GUGUUCACUUGGGCAACACAUAUAUAAAAAUGGACUGAUACAGAGAAUAGCAUGGUCCCUGUACAAGGAUGACAUGCAAAUUUGUGAAGGGUCCCAGAUAUUU